GAUGAACGCUGGCGGCGUGCCUAAUACAUGCAAGUCGAGCGAACGGACGAGAAGCUUGCUUCUCUGAUGUUAGCGGCGGACGGGUGAGUAACACGUGGAUAACCUACCUAUAAGACUGGGAUAACUUCGGGAAACCGGAGCUAAUACCGGAUAAUAUUUUGAACCGCAUGGUUCAAAAGUGAAAGACGGUCUUGCUGUCACUUAUAGAUGGAUCCGCGCUGCAUUAGCUAGUUGGUAAGGUAACGGCUUACCAAGGCAACGAUGCAUAGCCGACCUGAGAGGGUGAUCGGCCACACUGGAACUGAGACACGGUCCAGACUCCUACGGGAGGCAGCAGUAGGGAAUCUUCCGCAAUGGGCGAAAGCCUGACGGAGCAACGCCGCGUGAGUGAUGAAGGUCUUCGGAUCGUAAAACUCUGUUAUUAGGGAAGAACAUAUGUGUAAGUAACUGUGCACAUCUUGACUGUACCUAAUCAGAAAGCCACGGCUAACUACGU
rnacentral:rRNA from 1 species